UACGUAGGUGGCAAGCGUUGUCCGGAAUUAUUGGGCGUAAAGCGCGCGCAGGCGGUCCUUUAAGUCUGAUGUGAAAGCCCAUGGCUCAACCGUGGAGGGUCAUUGGAAACUGGAGGACUUGAGUACAGAAGAGGAAAGCGGAAUUCCACGUGUAGCGGUGAAAUGCGUAGAGAUGUGGAGGAACACCAGUGGCGAAGGCGGCUUUCUGGUCUGUAACUGACGCUGAGGCGCGAAAGCGUGGGGAGCAAACAGG
rnacentral:rRNA from 1 species